CCUACGGGAGGCAGCAGUGAGGAAUAUUGGUCAAUGGACGAGAGUCUGAACCAGCCAAGUAGCGUGAAGGAUGACUGCCCUAUGGGUUGUAAACUUCUUUUAUAUGGGAAUGAAAUGUUCCACGUGUGGGAUUUUGUAUGUACCAUAUGAAUAAGGAUCGGCUAACUCCGUGCCAGCAGCCGCGGUAAUACGGAGGAUCCGAGCGUUAUCCGGAUUUAUUGGGUUUAAAGGGAGCGUAGGUGGAUUGUUAAGUCAGUUGUGAAAGUUUGCGGCUCAACCGUAAAAUUGCAGUUGAAACUGGCAGUCUUGAGUACAGUAGAGGUGGGCGGAAUUCGUGGUGUAGCGGUGAAAUGCUUAGAUAUCACGAAGAACUCCGAUUGCGAAGGCAGUUCACUGGACUGCAACUGACACUGAGGCUCGAAAGUGUGGGUAUCAAACAGGAUUAGAUACCCGUGUAGUC
rnacentral:rRNA from 1 species